AUAUUUUUAAGAGGCAUUGAUUCGUGCAAAGAAAGACCGAGGUAUCCUGAAAAGAUUGGUCGCUAAUGAAUUACACGAGGAGUCCAAUGGCGAAACCGGCUUAAAUAAUA
rnacentral:ncRNA from 26 species